rnacentral:lncRNA from 1 species
CAAUAUCUGCAAGGAGGCCAGUAUGCAGCCAGCACUGCCCAGUAUGCUCCUGGUCCCGGGCAGCCCCCUGGCCCUGCCUCCUCCUACGCAGGACACAGACUCCCCCUGCAGCAGGGCAUGGCCCAGUCCCUGUCUGCCCCUGGCCCCACAGGACUGCAUUACAAGCCCACAGAGCAGUUCAACGGGCAGGGCGCCAGCUUCAACGGGGGCAGCAUCAGCUACAGCCAGCCUGGCUUGAGUGGGCCUUCCCGCUCCAUCCCUGCUUACCCCAGCUCCCCACUGCCGGGGAAUCCCACACCACCCAUGACGCCUAGCAGCA